CGGGUGAGUAAUGCGUGACCAACCUGCCCCAUGCUCCAGAAUAGCUCUUGGAAACGGGUGGUAAUGCUGGAUGCUCCAACUUGACGCAUGUCUUGUUGGGAAAGUGUUUAGUGGCAUGGGAUGGGGUCGCGUCCUAUCAGCUUGUAGGCGGGGUAAUGGCCCACCUAGGCUUCGACGGGUAGCCGGCCUGAGAGGGCGGACAGCCACAUUGGGACUGAGAUACGGCCCAGACUCCUACGGGAGGCAGCAGCC
rnacentral:rRNA from 1 species